rnacentral:rRNA from 1 species
AUUGAACGCUGGCGGCAGGCCUAACACAUGCAAGUCGAGCGAGCGGCGGACGGGUGAGUAAUGUAUGGGGACUGCCCGAUAGAGGGGGAUAACUACUGGAAACGGUGGCUAAUACCGCAUACUAUCGGAUAACCCAUAUGGGAUUAGCUAGUGGGUGGGGUAAAGGCUCACCUAGGCGACGAUCUCUAGCUGGUCGGAGAGGAUGGUCAGCCAAACGGGGAGUGAGACAGGGCCAGGACUCUCGGGGAGGCAGAGUAGGGGAAUAUUGCAAAAUGGGCGAAAGCCUGAUGCAGAAAGGCCGCGUGUAUGAAGAAGGCCUUGGGGUUGUAAGGUACUUUCAGCGGGGAGGCGUUACCCAAAGAAGAAGCACCGGCUAACUCCGUGCCAGCAGCCGCGGUAAUUC